rnacentral:lncRNA from 1 species
GGAGAUCUCCGACCCCCACCUGCCUGGAAGUCAUCAAAUGAUCAUGGAAUCCUUGGCUCUGACCCCACGGCCCCAGCUGGAGCUGGCUGAGAACAGUCCUGCAGCCUCAUUCCUUAGUUCCCGGAGCUGGCAAGGGCUGGAGCCCCGCCUGGGUCAGACGCCAGUGACAGAAGCUGUGAGUGGAAGACGAGGGAUUGCCAUCGCCUAUGAGGAUGAGGGAAGCGGCUGAUACCAUGUGGGGCUGGAGACAUAGAUGGACUUAUGAAUGGCUGCUAGGACCUUUAGUGCUCCCUGCACCAACCUCCCAUCCCCCUGCCAAGAUCCUUGAAGGACCCUGGAAGGAGGGAGAGCAGGCAGCCCUUCACAGGAUAGGAUCCAUCUCUGUCCUGUCCUGGCACUGGCACAAGCUCAGCACAUGCCCAGUAAUGCGUGUUGUUUGGCUGAUGGAAUAAAGGGCUUAGGGACUUCCCUGAGGCCUCUGGACCCAUCUGUCUUCCUGAGGGCAGCCCAGGACCUUUGGCCAAUCCCAGUUCCCAGUCUGCAGUUGAGGGUCUGUCCUUGUCAAAAGGCAGGUGCUAGACAGUCUAGACCAGGGUUUCUCAAACUCAUACUUGACAUUUGGGGCCAGAUAAUUCUUUGUUGUGGGGCCUGUCUGGUGUAUGGUAGGGUGCUUAGCAGCAUCCCUGGCCUCUGCCCACUAGACAUCAGAAGCACUCCCCCAGUUGUGACAACCAAAAAUAUCUCCAGACCUUGGCAAAUGUUAUCUGUGGGGGAAAAUUGCCCUCAAUUGAGAACCACUGGUCUAGCUAGACCUGCACUGUCCAGUACAGUAGCCACUAAAUACAUGUGGCUAAACUUAAAUUUACGUUAAUUAAGAUUAAAAGCUCAGUUUCUCAGUCACAUUAGUCAUUCAAGUGUUCAGACAGCCACAUGAGGGGACGGUGCAGCUACAGGAUAUGCCAUCAAGGCAGAAAGUUCUGUUUGUUGGACAGCGUUGGUCUAUACUGACUCUUAUUUCUCAAGGAGAUCACAGCAACCUAAAUAAACC